GACGAACGCUGGCGGCGUGCCUAAUACAUGCAAGUCGAGCGGAUCUUCAUUAGCUUGCUUUUGAAGAUCAGCGGCGGACGGGUGGGUAACACGUGGGCAACCUGCCUGUAAGACUGGGAUAACUUCGGGAAACCGGAGCUAAUACCGGAUAAUCCUUUUCCUCUCAUGAGGAAAAGCUGAAAGACGGUUUCGGCUGUCACUUACAGAUGGGCCCGCGGCGCAUUAGCUAGUUGGUGAGGUGACGGCUCACCAAGGCGACGAUGCGUAGCCGACCUGGGAGGGUGUUCGGCCACACUGGGACUGAGACACGGCCCAGACUCCGACGGGAGGCAGCAGUAGGGAAUCUUCCGCAAUGGACGAAAGUCUGACGGAGCAACGCCGCGUGAGCGAUGAAGGCCUUCGGGUCGUAAAGCUCUGUUGUCAGGGAAGAACGAGUAUCGGAGUAACUGCCGGUACCUUGACGGUACCUGACCAGAAAGCCACGGCUAACUACGUGCCAGCCGCCGCAGUAAAAC
rnacentral:rRNA from 1 species